CCUACGGGUGGCAGCAGUGGGGAAUAUUGCACAAUGGGGGAAACCCUGAUGCAGCGACGCCGCGUGAGUGAAGAAGUAUUUCGGUAUGUAAAGCUCUAUCAGCAGGGAAGAAAUACAGAGUAUAUGGUCAGGAGACGGUGCCUGACUAAGAACCACCGGCCAACGACGUUCCUGCAGCCGAGGUAUUAUGCAGGGGUAAAGCGUGAUCCGGGUUGAUUGGGUGUAACGGGAGCGUAGACGGCAGCACAAGUCUGGAGUGAAAUGCCUUGGCUUAAACAUGGACCUGUUUUGGAAACUGGGGAGCUAGAGUGCAGGAGAGGUAAGUGGAAUUCCUAGUGUAGCGGGGAAAUGCGUAGAUAUUAGGAGGAACACCAGUGGCGAAGGCGGCUUACUGGACUGUAACUGACGUUGAGGCUCGAAAGCGUGGGGAGCAAACAGGAUUAGAUACCCCAGUAGUC
rnacentral:rRNA from 1 species